CCACGAACGUGAUGAGAGAAAUGAUGCGAGUGAUGAUAAUCUUUUAUCAGCUGAUGAGAAAAUGUCACUUCGCUACGUUCUUUCUGAUUCGUGG